rnacentral:tRNA from 1 species
GGAUAGAUGAUCGAGCGGUUUAAGGUGUCAGUCUUGAAAACUGAAGUAUAUAAAAUACCGUGGGUUCGAAUCCCACUCUAUCCU